UACGUAGGGUGCAAGCGUUAAUCGGAAUUACUGGGCGUAAAGCGUGCGCAGGCGGUUGUGUAAGUCUGUCGUGAAAUCCCCGGGCUCAACCUGGGAAUUGCGAUGGAGACUGCACGGCUAGAGUGUGUCAGAGGGGGGUAGAAUUCCACGUGUAGCAGUGAAAUGCGUAGAUAUGUGGAGGAACACCGAUGGCGAAGGCAGCCCCCUGGGAUAACACUGACGCUCGAUGCACGAAAGCGUGGGGAGCAAGCAGG
rnacentral:rRNA from 1 species